AAAUUGAAGAGUUUGAUCAUGGCUCAGAUUGAACGCUGGCGGCAGGCCUAACACAUGCAAGUCGAACGGUAACAGGAAGCAGCUUGCUGCUUCGCUGACGAGUGGCGGACGGGUGAGUAAUGUCUGGGAAGCUGCCUGAUGGAGGGGGAUAACUACUGGAAACGGUGGCUAAUACCGCAUAACGUCGCAAGACCAAAGAGGGGGACCUUCGGGCCUCUUGCCAUCAGAUGUGCCCAGAUGGG
rnacentral:rRNA from 1 species